rnacentral:rRNA from 1 species
UACGAAGGGUGCAAACGUUGCUCGGAAUUAUUGGGCGUAAAGCGCACGUAGGCGGCUUCUUAAGUCGGUGGUGAAAUCCUGGAGCUCAACUCCAGAACUGCCUUCGAUACUGAGAAGCUCGAGUCCGGGAGAGGUGAGUGGAACUGCGAGUGUAGAGGUGAAAUCGUAGAUAUUCGCAAGAACACCGAUGGCGAAGGCAAUCCCCUGGCCUGCACUGACGCUCAUGCACGAAAGCGUGGGGAGCAAACAGG